AGAGAAUGUAAUCGUUACGUUUGGAGUCACUCUCGGGGACGACGCCCUGUAUGUCAACGCGUGGCGUGCCAUGCCGGGGUGCCAGCGCCUUUCAUCUGCAUGUCAUGAAGCGCCGACAAACGUUUGCUGCAAAGUCCAACUGGCAUCCGAUGUUCCCCAGAGUUCCCCGAGGUCUCCUGGUACCUCCAUUCCACCUCUGCAGCUCCUUCCUAAGUUCUCCCACACUCCUCCGCUCUCUUCAUCCAGUUCUAAACACUGGUGCUCACGUACCACGCUGUGAAUGGAU
ensembl:lncRNA